rnacentral:rRNA from 1 species
CAAGCCCUGGAAACGGGGUCUAAUACCGGAUACGACCAUCUGAGGCAUCUCAUGGUGGUGGAAAGCUCCGGCGGUGCAGGAUGAGCCCGCGGCCUAUCAGCUUGUUGGUGGGGUGAUGGCCUACCAAGGCGACGACGGGUAGCCGGCCUGAGAGGGCGACCGGCCACACUGGGACUGAGACACGGCCCAGACUCCUACGGGAGGCAGCAGUGGGGAAUAUUGCACAAUGGGCGAAAGCCUGAUGCAGCGACGCCGCGUGAGGGAUGACGGCCUUCGGGUUGUAAACCUCUUUCAGCAGGGAAGAAGCGAGAGUGACGGUACCUGCAGAAGAAGCACCGGCUAACUACGUGCCAGCAGCCGCGGUAAUACGUAGGGUGCAAGCGUUGUCCGGAAUUAUUGGUCGUAAAGAGCUCGUAGGCGGCUUGUCGCGUCGGAUGUGAAAGCCCGGGGCUUAACCCCGGGUCUGCAUUCGAUACGGGCAGGCUAGAGUUCGGUAGGGGAGAUCGGAAUUCCUGGUG